AUGUGUGCCUCCUGAGCCGUAUACUCGUGUGCUUGUCGAAUAAUCCGUGUGCCGGCUGAAUAUGUGUGCCUUCGCUGGAGCGUACUACGUUGUUCCGCGCUCCGCCCGUGAGGAGUGACGUGGCACCGCGUAUUCUACCGCAGUGCAUUCGUCGCUGCGUUCGUGCCUGUUAUGUGCGCUGCAACCUCGCCUUUGAAAGGACGACAACCUUGCUUUCUAAUUACAAGUUUAAUGUUUGCUUAAGACGAUGGACACAUUGCGAAUGGCGGCAGGAGUGGAUCGGCUACAUCGGUGAACGUGGGACUGUAUCGACUGCAAGGACGUGAGUUACAAAAAGCUGUAAUAUUCUAGCAUUAACGUUUGAACAAUACCAGAGUGAUGUUCACUUCGGUUUCUUUACAGGUAGUGUCCUCUGUCAACGGUCACGCAUAUGCGUGCAAAACUGCAACUGCUUCUCACAUCCAAGAGGGGUCUGGUGCCACAUGCUCGGACAAUUAUUCGUCGGCCAUUUCGUUUGGGGAACUGUCGUGUUCGUCACUAAGGAUGGCCUUGGUUGAGCUUUGCAGUGCCAGCCUGGUGCAUCGGAGGGGUUGUGUCCAUGCAACGUGUGCUUCAUAUGUGUGUGUUGGGAUUAGUGAAGCGUGUAUGCUUUCCAUUCAGCCAACGAUGAUGUACUGGAUGAAAUUUAAAGGUAUGUGCACGCCAAUAAAAUUUGGUGUUUCAAGUUCAAUGUCCUUGGUGGAUUUUUUCCCCUAUUU